rnacentral:rRNA from 1 species
UACGUAGGGCGCGAGCGUUGUCCGGAUUUAUUGGGCGUAAAGAGCUCGUAGGCGGUUCGGUAAGUCGGGUGUGAAAACUCUGGGCUCAACCCGGAGAGGCCACUCGAUACUGCCGUGACUUGAGUCUGGUAGGGGAGCACGGAAUUCCUGGUGUAGCGGUGAAAUUCGUAGAUAUUCGGAAGAACACCAGUGGCGAAGGCGACUUACUGGACACAUAUUGACGCUGAGGUGCGAAAGCGUGGGGAGCAAACAGG